rnacentral:lncRNA from 1 species
AGGAGGAGGAAGAUUUUAAUUUAGAACCAGAAUCGAUAGAAUCCACAUUAGAUAAUAUAGCAAAUGAUUAAUUGGAUAGGUUAGAGGAAAUAGUAAUUUUGUAGAGUUUUGUUUAGUUUUUAGAUAGGUAACAAUUGUGUAUUUGUGAGGACGCUGCAUAGAUAGGAGUGGAGCUAUGUAAAAUAGAUAUUAGUUUGUUUCUGUAAGA